GACGAACGCUGGCGGCGUGCUUAACACAUGCAAGUCAAACGGAAAGGCCCUGCUUUUGUGGGGUGCUCGAGUGGCGAACGGGUGAGUAACACGUGAGUAACCUGCCCUUGACUUUGGGAUAACUUCAGGAAACUGGGGCUAAUACCGGAUAGGAGCUCCUGCUGCAUGGUGGGGGUUGGAAAGUUUCGGCGGUUGGGGAUGGACUCGCGGCUUAUCAGCUUGUUGGUGGGGUAGUGGCUUACCAAGGCUUUGACGGGUAGCCGGCCUGAGAGGGUGACCGGCCACAUUGGGACUGAGAUACGGCCCAGACUCCUACGGGAGGCAGCAGCGGGGAAUAUUGCACAAUGGGCGGAAGCCUGAUGCAGCAACGCCGCGUGCGGGAUGACGGCCUUCGGGUUGUAAACCGCUUUCGCCUGUGACGAAGCGUGAGUGACGGUAAUGGGUAAAGAAGCACCGGCUAACUACG
rnacentral:rRNA from 1 species